rnacentral:rRNA from 1 species
UAGGGAAUCUUCGGCAAUGGACGAAAGUCUGACCGAGCAACGCCGCGUGAGUGAAGAAGGUUUUCGGAUCGUAAAACUCUGUUGUUAGAGAAGAACAAGGACGUUAGUAACUGAACGUCCCCUGCCGGUAUCUAACCAGAAAGCCACGGCUAACUACGUGCCAGCAGCCGCGGUAAUACGUAGGUGGCAAGCGUUGUCCGGAUUUAUUGGGCGUAAAGCGAGCGCAGGCGGUUUCUUAAGUCUGAUGUGAAAGCCCCCGGCUCAACCGGGGAGGGUCAUUGGAAACUGGGAGACUUGAGUGCAGAAGAGGAGAGUGGAAUUCCAUGUGUAGCGGUGAAAUGCGUAGAUAUAUGGAGGAACACCAGUGGCGAAGGCGGCUCUCUGGUCUGUAACUGACGCUGAGGCUCGAAAGCGUGGGGAGCAAACAGG